rnacentral:rRNA from 1 species
AUUGAACGCUGGCGGAAUGCUUUACACAUGCAAGUCGAACGGCAGCACGGACUUCGGUCUGGUGGCGAGUGGCGAACGGGUGCGUAACAUAUCGGAACGUAUCCAAUAAUGGGGGAUAACUAAUCGAAAGGUUGGCUAAUACCGCAUACGCCCUACGGGGGAAAACAGGGGAUCUUCGGACCUUGCGUUAAUGGAGCGGCUUAUAUCUGAUUAUCUCGUUGGUGAGGUAAAGGCUCACCAUGGCGACGAUCAGUAGUUGGUCUGAGAGGACGACGAGCCACGGUGUAAUUGAGACACGGUGCAGACUCCUACGGGAGGCGGCAAUGGGAAAUUUUGGACAAGGUGCGGAAACCUGAUCUGGCCAUUCCGGGUGAGUGAAGAGGGCCUUCGGGUUGGAAAGCAUUUUCGCAAGGGAAGAAAACUUACUUUCUGAUAAAUAGUGAGGUUGACGAUACCUUGAUAAGAAGCACCGGCUAACUACGUGCCAGCGGCCGCCGUAA